UACGUAGGGUGCGAGCGUUAAUCGGAAUUACUGGGCGUAAAGCGUGCGCAGGCGGUUUUGGAAGGCAGAUGUGAAAUCCCCGGGCUUAACCUGGGAAUGGCAUUUGGGACUGCAAGGCUGGAGUGUGGCAGAGGAGACUGGAAUUCCUGGUGUAGCAGUGAAAUGCGUAGAGAUGUGGAGGAACACCGAUGGCGAAGGCAGCCCCCUGGGUCAAGAUUGACGCUCAUGCACGAAAGCGUGGGGAGCAAACAGG
rnacentral:rRNA from 1 species